AUACGUAGGGGGCGAGCGUUGUCCGGAAUGAUUGGGCGCAAAGGGCGCGUAGGCGGCCCGGUAAGUCUGGAGUGAAAGUCCUGUUUUUAAGAUGGGAAUUGCUUUGGAUACUGUCGGGCUUGAGUGCAGGAGAGGUAAGUGGAAUUCCCAGUGUAGCGGUGAAAUGCGUAGAGAUUGGGAGGAACACCAGUGGCGAAGGCGACUUACUGGACUGUAACUGACGCUGAGGCGCGAAAGUGUGGGGAGCAAACAGGAUUAGAUACCCUGGUAGUCCACACUGUAAACGAUGAAUGCUAGGUGUAGGGGGUAUCGACCCCUUCUGUGCCGCAGUCAACACAAUAAGCAUUCCGCCUGGGGAGUACGGCCGCAAGGUUGAAACUCAAAGGAAUUGACGGGG
rnacentral:rRNA from 1 species